rnacentral:tRNA from 2 species
GGACCCGUAGCUCAGCUAGGACAGAGCGGAGGCCUUCGGAGCCUUAGGUCGCGGGUUCGAGUCCCGCCGGGUCCG